CCCUUAGAUGUUCUGGGCCGCACACGCGCUACACUGAAGGAGGCAGCGUGUACUCCUGGAUCGAAAGAUUUGGGUAACCCGCGAAUCUCCUUCGUGCUAGGGAUUGAGGUUUGCAAUUAUCCUUCAUGAACGAGGAAUUCCCAGUAAGUGCAAGUCAUAAGCUUGCGCUGACUACGUCCCUGCCCUUUGUACACACCGCCAGUCGCUACUACCGAUUGAAUGAUUUAGUGAGGACUUCGGACUGGGACCGAUGCGGCUUUCGGGCUGCGUCGGUAUUCUGGAAAGAUGUCCAAACUGUAUCAUUUAGAGGAAGUAAAAGUCGUAACA
rnacentral:rRNA from 1 species